rnacentral:rRNA from 1 species
UACAGAGGUCCCGAGCGUUGUUCGGAUUCACUGGGCGUAAAGGGUGCGUAGGCGGCUUUGCAAGUGACGGGUGAAAUCCCUCGGCUUAACCGAGGAACUGCCUGUCAAACUGCAUGGCUUGAGACCGGGAGAGGUGAGUGGAAUUCCCAGUGUAGCGGUGAAAUGCGUAGAUAUUGGGAGGAACACCAGUGGCGAAGGCGGCUCACUGGACCGGUACUGACGCUGAUGCGCGAAAGCGUGGGGAGCAAACAGG